GAGUGAACGCUGGCGGUAGGCCUAACACAUGCAAGUCGAACGGCAGCACAGUAAGAGCUUGCUCUUACGGGUGGCGAGUGGCGGACGGGUGAGGAAUACAUCGGAAUCUACUUUUUCGUGGGGGAUAACGUAGGGAAGCUUACGCUAAUACCGCAUACGACCUACGGGUGAAAGCAGGGGAUCUUCGGACCUUGCGCGAUUGAAUGAGCCGAUGUCGGAUUAGCUAGUUGGCGGGGUAAAGGCCCACCAAGGCGACGAUCCGUAGCUGGUCUGAGAGGAUGAUCAGCCACACUGGAACUGAGACACGGUCCAGACUCCUACGGGAGGCAGCAGUGGGGAAUAUUGGACAAUGGGCGCAAGCCUGAUCCAGCCAUACCGCGUGGGUGAAGAAGGCCUUCGGGUUGUAAAGCCCUUUUGUUGGGAAAGAAAAGCAGCAGGUUAAUACCCCGCUGUUCUGACGGUACCCAAAGAAUAAGCACCGGCUAACUUCGUG
rnacentral:rRNA from 1 species